rnacentral:rRNA from 1 species
UACGAGGGGGGCAAAUGUUGUUCGGAAUCACUGGGCGUAAAGGGAGCGUAGGCGGGUUCUUAAGUUAGGUGUUUAAUCCCGGGGCCCAACCCCGGACCGGCACUUAAACUGGAUCGUUGAAUAGUGGAGAGGUCAGUGGAAUUGGAGGUGUAGCGGUGGAAUGCGUAGAGAUCUCCAAGAACACCAGUUGCGAAGGCGGCUGACUGGACACAUAUUGACGCUGAGGCUCGAAAGCAUGGGGAGCAAACAGG